rnacentral:rRNA from 1 species
GAUGAACGCUGGCGGCGUGCCUAAUACAUGCAAGUCGAGCGAACAGACGAGGAGCUUGCUCCUCUGACGUUAGCGGCGGACGGGAGAGUAACACGUGGAUAACCUACCUAUAAGACUGGGAUAACUUCGGGAAACCGGCGCUAAUACCGUAUAAUCUAUUGAACCGCAUGGUUCAAUAGUGAAAGUCGGUUUUGCUGUCACUUAUAGAUGGAUCCGCGCCGCAUUAGCUAGUUGGUAAGGUAACGGCUUACCAAGGCAACGAUGCGUAGCCGACCGGAGAGGGUGAUCGCCGACACUGGAAGUGAGACACGGUCCAGACUCCUACGGGAGGCAGCAGUAGGGAAUGUGCCGCAAUGGGCGAGAGCAUGACGGAGCAACGCCGCGCGAGUGAUAAAGGUCUUCGGAGCGUAAUACUCUGUUAUUAGGGAAGAACAAAUGUGUAAGUAACUAUGCACGUCUUGACGGUACCUAAUCAGAAAGCCACGGCUAACUACGUG